UCCGAGAAGUGGUCAUUCGCUGUAUAAUAAACUCAUUAUGCAGAGGAAAGUCCGGACAUCACAGGACAGGAUUCCUUGUGAAAGCAAGGGGGACUUGCGUCAAGGCAAGUUCACGGCAAGUGCAACAGAAAGCAAACCGCUCGCCUCUGCGGGUAAGGGUGAAAAGGUGGGGUAAGAGCCUACCGUCACGAAGGUAACUUAGUGGGCAAUGUAAACCCAGUCCGAUGCAAGGCGAAAUAGGAAACGGGGUUGUCCGCCCACUGGUUUCGGGUACGUCGCAUCCCCUCAACAUGGGGAAUCCUUAAAGUAUAAGGAUAGAUAAAUGAAUGACAGUUCGAAUAUCGAAUUACAGAAUCCGGCUUACAUCUUCUCGGGAUUC
rnacentral:RNase_P_RNA from 1 species